rnacentral:rRNA from 1 species
AACCUGCCCAAGAGAUCGGGAUAACACCUGGAAACAGAUGCUAAUACCGGAUAAUAACAGAUGAUGCCUAUCAACUGUUUAAAAGAUGGUUCUGCUAUCACUCUUGGAUGGACCUGCGGUGCAUUAGCUAGUUGGUAGGGUAACGGCCUACCAAGGCGAUGAUGCAUAGCCGAGUUGAGAGACUGAUCGGCCACAUUGGGACUGAGACACGGCCCAAACUCCUACGGGAGGCAGCAGUC